AAAAGAGUUGCGUCUGGACCAAAUUUAGUCAAUGAGCAGUUGAGGCAACAGGAUUGGCAUAGACUGAUGCCUGCCUGUCAGGCCAUUUUUGAUGCAGCUGACUGACUGUUCGACUAGCCAAAAGAGUUGCGUCUGGACCAAAUUUAGUCAAUGAGCAGUUGAGGCAACAGGAUUGGCAUAGACUGAUGCCUGCCUGUCAGGCCAUUUUAUAUCCAGCUUGCUCUUUGCUCGACAAGCGACAAGAGUCGAGUUCUUGCCAGUAAGAAAGGAUUGGAAGGGCAGGGUCGGCUACAGGAUAUAAAGAAAUUGGUUUUUAUGUCAGAACAGGACAUAGUUCAAGUAUAUUCAAAACUUGUUUAUAGCUCCUAUUAUAAAUUCAGGGUCUAGUUAUAUAUAACAAUAAAAUUUACAUGAAAUACA